UUGUUUUCUUCUUUCUUUCUUCUACAUUGUCCGUUUCUCCGAUCAGUAACGGCGGCUGUUCAAACCCUUUGCGUUCGCACUGAGGUGGCGAGGCAAACGGCGGAAGCGGUUGACCAGUCCAGAGGAUUUUGCGGUCGAGAAAUGGAGUGGUUUCAAGAGGUUCCCCGCGAGCGAUUCUACCCCAUUCAGACAAGAAGUGAAACGCGCUUUGUCCAUCGACCACCGCGUGUGAAAUGCUGACGCCGAGGCUUAUUCCGCCGCAUU
rnacentral:lncRNA from 1 species